rnacentral:rRNA from 1 species
CCCUUAGAUGUCCGGGGCUGCACGCGCGCUACACUGAAGGAAUCAGCGUGCUAAAACCAUUGUCGAAAGGCAUUGGUAAACCCAUUAAAAUCCUACGUGAUUGGGAUCGGGAAUUGCAAUUAUUUCCCUUGAACGAGGAAUUCCCAGUAAGUGUGGGUCAUAAGCUCGCGUUGAUUACGUCCCUGCCCUUUGUACACACCGCCCGUCGCUGCCCGGGACUGAGCCGUUUCGAGAAAAGCGGGGACUGCUGCUGUCGGGGCUUUCGGGCCUUGGCUUCGGUGGAAACCGCUUUAAUCGCANUNGCUUGANCCGGGCAAAANUCGUANCA